UACGUAGGGGGCUAGCGUUGUCCGGAAUCAUUGGGCGUAAAGCGCGUGUAGGCGGUCCGGUAAGUCCGCUGUGAAAGUCGGGGGCUCAACCCUCGAAAGCCGGUGGAUACUGUCGGGCUCGAGUACGGAAGAGGCGAGUGGAAUUCCUGGUGUAGCGGUGAAAUGCGCAGAUAUCAGGAGGAACACCAAUUGCGAAGGCAGCUCGCUGGGACGUUACUGACGCUGAGGAGCGAAAGCGUGGGGAGCAAACAGG
rnacentral:rRNA from 1 species